AUGAAGUUUAUGGCUUGGCUGGUGACUUAUUGCCCUUUUGAUGAGAAGCUGGAGAGUCUAUUCAUGCCUCUAUAACCAUUGGAUUGUAGGUUGUGAGAAACAUAAUGAAUAAGAUAUUGGCUUUCAGAGUCGACACCGGUUGUUGCUUGUGAAUUUUUGUCAUGAAACAAGUUCGGUGGUUUGGGUUUGUGAAGAAGUUCAAAAUUACUUAGAAGG
rnacentral:lncRNA from 1 species